rnacentral:rRNA from 1 species
ACGAAGGGGGCUAGCGUUGCUCGGAAUUACUGGGCGUAAAGGGAGCGUAGGCGGACAUUUAAGUCAGGGGGGAAAUCCCGGGGCUAAACCUCGGAAUUGCCUUUGAUACUGGGUGUCUUGAGUGUGGGAGAGGUGUGUGGAACUCCGAGUGUAGAGGUGAAAUUCGUAGAUAUUCGGAUGAACACCAAUGGCGAAGGCGACACACUGGCUCAGUACUGACGCUGAGGCACGAAAGCGUGGGGAGCAAACAG